GCUCCUUGCUGGCCAGGCAGAGGGAUUGACCACAGUUUGUCUAUUCCCAGGGCUGUUUUGCUGCCCACAGCAAUGGAGCCAGAGCAGAGUGGAGUGUGUUUGGCUCUGUGGAAUGUUGUGUCACUCACUGCAGGUGCCAUGGGACUAAGCAAGAGGGAACUCACAGGCUGGAGCUGGGAGGGGACCCUGUCAUCCCAACAGAGAUACCGGCAGUCAUGAGGUGGUGGCAAGAUGCCACCAAACAGCCCAGGCCACACUGGCCUGCCAGGUCCCCAGUUUCAGCCUGGCUGCUCCUCAGCAUCCCCCUGACAGUGCCUGGGGUGGGGAAGGAUGACUCCAUCCCAUCCCAGGGCUGCCUCCUCUGGCUUUUCCAAGCUGGCUGGUAUUGAUGCCUCCAGGCACCUUCCUGCAGGACCACAGUGCCAGGGGCUGCAGAUGCUGUUGAAGCCGCUGAGCAUCCUGACCUUCACGCUGCUUAAAAAAAAGUACCAUUUCUGGCACACUGGCCCCACUGCUGAAGAGCUGUUCCUCUUCCACCUCCUUCACCUGCUGGGAUGAAAAGCUGCAGGGUUGUGCUGCCAUGAAGAGGGACCCUGAUGGGCAAAGAGGAGCUUCAUGGAGUGCAACAAGGGGAAGUAUGAACUCCUGCCACUGGGAGGAAUAACCCCACUCAUCAGUACAUACUGGGGGCCAAUCAGCUGGAAAAGAACUUUGCAGGUAAAGACCUGAGGGGUCCUGGUGGACAACAAGCUGACCUUGAGCCAGAGGUGCAUUCUCAAAGCCGGCAAUAUCAUGGCCUGGAUUAGGAAGAGUGUUGCCAACGGGCCAAGGGAGAAGGAGGAAGAAGGUUUUGAUUCAUCCUUUGUGACCAAGAACUGCUGCCACUGGUGGAAACAGGACUGGCACCUGUGAGUGUUUCAGAUAUUUCUUGCCAACUCUUAGGUCCAGCAAAGUGUUGCAUGAAGGAACUUUAACCCCAUUUCAAGGACUGGGAAGCAGGACAGAGACAGAGGGAAGGGAUCUGCCCAGUGUCACAUCAUUAAGCCAGGGAUAGGUUGGGAAGGCACCAGACCCUUCUGUGAGACCUGGUUCAGUUCCCUCUGUACUGGGUCAUGUUCUAGCAGGUCAUAUAUGUGUAUCCAAGAGUUGUGAGUGUAUCCAAGAGUGUCAAACUGUCUGGACCAGUGAUCAGCAGGGAUUGCUGAACGAGUUCACAGAAAAUUUUAACAUUGUUAAAU